CAAAGAAAAGAGGUGAGUUUUAAGAAGAGUUUUAAAAUGAGACAGAGAGGAAGCCUGUCUAAUGUGCAGCGGCAGACCAUUCCAAAGCUUAGUACAUAUGAUUAUGUCAGAUUAUGAAUUAUGAAUAAAAUUCACUCUAGGUCCAAUCCGGACAGAUUUAUCAUGACAAAACAUGCAAACAGAUCUCUGGAUUAUAUCAUGUAAUCCAGAGAUUUAUUAUAAUCCAUAAUACAUUGUACCAUGUAGAAUCUUCAUAUAUGCGUGUUUGUUUGUCUUCAGAAAUGAUUACAGUGAUGAAGUAAGUCAGUCUGGGUACAGUAGCCUUUGCACACUGACCCAAAGUAUCACCUUUUAAUUAUUUCUGGCAAAAGGAAUUCCCCCCCGGUGACACAGCUACUGCUUUAUAACGAUAGAAACCAAAAACAAAAGCAUCCAUUUUCAUUUCCCACUUGAGGAACGAGUCUCACAUGUCAAACCAAAACAUCUCAUGGAAUAAAUGAAAUUAUUGUCCAGCUCCAGAGAUGUUAUUUUUCUGAAUCAGCUUUUAAUCUCCCCCUGGCUUUGGCCUGUUUGUGAUGGAGGGGGGGGGGGAUUCAAUUUUCCUCCUUUUAUUAUGUUUAGAGUUUCUGGCUCGCUGCCCGGCUGCCAACAGAAAGGUAAGUUAUCUUCACCUCAGCAGAAGUGAGGUGAAAACUAAUUCCCCGACAGCGACCGCAGCCUUCCUGGUGAUUUGUUUUACUUACUCACCACUAGUAAUCCCCAUAUAUCAUAACAGGUAGUAAAGUCGCCCAGUGAGAGACACCGACCAAAUAAAACAAUCAGGCACCGACUCUGUGACUCUAACAAGUUUGUAGCUGUUGUUUUUUUUGGCCUUUGCUCACGGGAGAUCCGGCGCUGGGAAGAAUCCAGCAGAGAAAUGUCCUUCACACGAGCUGACCGCAGCUUCUCUCCCUGCAGAGGUGUCCACAGUGGAAUGCCUCAUAAAUGUGUCUGUGAUUUACUGUUGUGUGUGCACGUGUGUGUGUGUGUGUGUGAGAUUGAUAUUUUUCUUUUAAUGAAGAAGGCAAGGGAAAUACAUUCUUUCAGACACAUGCACUCAGGCGUCUUAGAGUUGACGCUGUGCAGACAGUGGAAAGGGCUCUGGACACGGCACUGCAAGUUGUUUUUGAAGUGCACACCUUUUAGUCUUUUAGUGUACUUUUAGUCGUCAGAGAUUUUCCACUUGGUGUACAGUUGCUGGACAAUGAGAGCAUCGCACAGGUUUUUUGUCAUUUCCAUGGAAUCGCAGAUGAAAUGUUAGCCUCUUUCAAACGGUUCUGUUUUACUGCCCCUGCGCUGACGAGCCGCCAACACCAACACUUCUCAGGUUGUAAUAGUUUUACAGUUAUUAUAUUGUAUUUGGCAAGACAGGUUGACUCUUAACUUAACUGAAACCCCAAUCUAAUUUUCCAAGACCCUUUUAUAGUAUAUAUUCAUAUAUAUACUGUACGUGUAUACAAAGUGUGUCAUCGAUGUAAAGCUAACCCUUAAAGAGUGACUUGUUUUAUCUCUAAAUCUACUCUAUAUGCAUUUUCAUAAUAUUCCCUAUUAUUGGAUAAUAUUUGAACCCGAGCGAGGCUUUAAAAAAUGGACACAAUUAGAUGUUGAGAGUAUUGUAUUGCAGACGUGUACUGCACGUUUAUGAAUGCUUCUGCAGGUUGAUACGACACACACAGAGUACAGAGUGCAGCCCACUUCACCGAGCUGCUCGUCAUAUUUUAACCAGAUGUCGAGUCUCUCGUCUACAACAUACUUUUGAAUCUUCUUUUUUUUUUUCUAUUUUGAUUUGCUCGUUGCCUGCGCGGUAUGGAAAGUAUUUGUCCUUUCAAGUUCUCGCACUGGAUCGACAGGCCGAAUGCCGGUAGCAUCUGGACUUCAUACGAGGCCAUUUAAAAAAAAUAAAGAGCCCAGAAUAUAUGUGAAAUGAGCACUUAAAUGAAAGCUUAUUUUCAACAUUUAAUCAUCUUCCCUGACACAGUUUUGCACCUUUCUAUUACUUCAUGACAAAUUUACUGUGUGAAAAAAAACACAGGGAAUUACAGCCAGCGUGUUGCAUACAUGGAAAGACCUGCGAUGGAAUCACUCCAAACUGUCAGUGUCUUUAUUCUGGUAAUGGUGGUGAACUGCAGGAAAACCAUGCUUUCAGUGUAACCUGUUCUUUUUCUUCUCUUUUACAGUCUAUUUAAAGUCCAGGGAGAGCAGCAGCAGCACACUCCAUGCCAUUUAAAGUGACACUUUAAUCACGAGCGGUUAAUGGAGCACUAAUGCCAGACUUUGAUGUGGCUGUAAGUCAAGGUGCCCGCACAGAACAUGUGUUUGCCGUGGUAUGAUCCCUCCAAACAUACUGGGACUGUGUCAAGAAAUACUAUCAGACCUGACUGAGGGAGCGUUCCUGUCUGGACGGCACAAGAUUUAAACACCACUAUACUGAGAGUCAGAGAAACCUAAAGUUUGAGAAACCUGAAGUUGUGCAAUACAAUGAAAAAUAAUAAUAAGCUGCAUUUAACGCCUUUUUAACGUUUUUUUAUUUCUUAUCAUUAAGAUAAAAAAAGACGUGACUGAUCAGGCCACAGUGUGAUGCUUUCUACAGCAGCAGCUGAUUCAGCUGUUUAGCAUAAACUAUAUUCUGUCCCGUGACACAGCUGUGAGGAUCAUCAAGACAGUAUGGAGGCUAAAAAAUAGAUAGAGGCCUCACACUGACUCUUGAGGUACACACAGUGUGAGGACUAACUUUAACCAUCAAUUUACUGUAUCCUUAUAAGGAAGACAUGCAGUAGACGAUACAAUAAAUCUUAGUCAUUUUGAUAUUUCA